GAAGAAAUUGGACAUUGAUUUUGAAAUAAAUAAGGCUUAGUAGAGCACAAGCUAAAAUAGGUAUUCUACACUUAGAAAACAAAAACAAACUAGGUAUUACAACUAUUUAACAACUAUUAAAUGAUGACGGCUCCAUUUUUAGAUCAUUCCUUUUUUUUUUUAAAGACAGCCUCACUCUGUUACCCAGGCUGAGGGCAGUGGCGCAAUCUCGGCUCACUGUGACUUCCCCUCCCAGAUUUAAAUGAUUCUUGUGCCUCAGCCUCCUGAGAAGCUGGGAUUACAGGCAUGCACCACCACGCCUGGCUAAUUUUUGUACUUUUAGUAGAGAUGGGGUUUUGCCAUGUUGGCCAGGCGGGUCUCAAACUCCUGACCUUAGGUGAUCCGCCCGCUUCAGCUUCCCAAAGUGCUGCGAUUACAGGUGUGAGCCACCGUGCCUGGCCUAGGUCAUUCUUAAGUUCUUCCUCAUAGGGCAUCCAAACCCAUUUCCAUGUAACUUUGAUCUAUCUGGACUAGUUCUACCCUUUAAAGUCACACAGAAUAAGGAAACAAUUUCUUUCCAGGCCCUCCAUUUACAUUUUUUGUUUUGUUUUGUUUUUUGGGUAUUUUUUGAGACAGAGUAUCACUUUGUCACCCAGGCUGGAGUGCAGUGGUACAAUCUCGGCUCAGUGAAACCUCUGCCUCUGGGUUCAAGCGAUUCUCAUGCCUCAGCCACCCCAGCAGCUGGGACUACAGGCUACCAUGCUCAGCUAAUUUUUGUAUUUUUAGUAGAGACAGGGUUUUGCCAUGUUGGCCAGGCUGGUCUUGAACUCCUGGCCUCAAGAGAUCUGCUCAUCUCGGCCUCCUGAAGUGCUGAUAUUACAGGUGUGAGUCACCACACCAGCCCCAUUUUACAUUUUUAACAACAGCUUUCAUCUCUACCUCCAUUAAAUUCCUUCCGCCAUUCUACAUAGAAAUAACUAUUUCUCUCUCUCUCUCUUUUUUUUUUUUUUAUACAGAGUCUAGCUCUGUUGCCCAGGCUGGAGUGCAGUGUGGUGAUUUCGGCUUACUGCAACCUCUGCCUCCCCAGUUCAAAGAUGAAGUUUCACCAUGUUGGCCAAGAUGGUCUUGAGCUCCUGGCCUCAAGUGAUCCACCUGCCUCGGCCUCUCACAGUGCUGGGAUUAUAGUCGUGAGUCACCGCACCCAGACCCUUAUUGGGAAUUUUAAAUGGAGCAAAGAGUAAUCCCAACACGGACCCAGCGUUGACAAGACAUAUGUGUAUUUGAACAUAUAUUUGAGUGUAUGUCUGUAUUUCAUCUAAUCCCCCAAGCAUUAAGAUAGGUUCAAAACAAAAUAACAAAUGUAAGCUUAGACUGUUGAUAGAAUAGGCCCCUUCUUUAUUUCUGAGACGGAGUCUCGUUCUGUCACCUAGGAUGGAGUGCAGUGGCACGAUUUUGGCUCACUGCAACCUCUGCCUCCUGCAUUCAAGCAAUUCUCCCUGCCUCAGCCUCCCGAGUAGCUGGGAUUACAGGCACCCGCAAUCACGCCCAGCUAAUUUUUUUGUAUUUUUAGUAGAGAUGGGGUUUCACCAUGUUGGCCAGGCUCAUCUCGAACUCCUGACCUCAAGUGAUCUGGCCACCUUGGCCUCUCAAAGUGCUGGGAUUACAGGCGCGGGCCACCAUGCCCAGCCGGCCCCUUCUUUUAAACUGGGAGAACUACAAUUCUUACCUGUUCUCCUAGAGACUGAUCCAAGAAUUUGGAAUGCAAUUGAUGGCAAGAGGCGAGAGAGAUACUUUUCAUCUGUGAAAGGAAAAUGGACAUUGGUAGGCAAAACACAGGACAUUUCUGAUUGUUUUUAAAAAGCUAAACAUAAUAACUGUAAUACAACUAACGUACUGGAUUUUGCUCUGAAUGACCACCUGUAUAUCAGGAGAGGAAGGGUUCACGACCAGAAAUGGUGUAACUGCUCCCUUCUACCUGCCCUAAGCAUUUCAUCCCAAAUAAAUGGGAUACUUUCACAUUCUGGGGAGAAACAGGUAAUAAUCCUCUACACUUUUUUUUUUUUGGACGGUCUCGCUCUGUGGCCCAGGCUGGACUGCAGUGGAGUGAUCUCGGCUCACUGCAACCUCUGCUUCCCGGGUUCAGGCAAUUCUCCUGCCUCAGCCUCCCAAGUAGCUGGGAUUACAGGCGCCUACCACCACACUUGGCUAAUUUUUUGUAUUUUUAGUAGUGAUGGGGUUUUGCCAUGUUGGCCAGGCUGGUCUCGAACUCCUGACCUCAGGUGAUCCACCCACCUCGGCCUCCCAACAUGCUGGGGUUACAGGCAUGAGCCACCGCGCCUGGCCAAUCCUCUACAUUACUAGUAGAGCACUUUGCAACAGUCCAAUAUUUUUUUCUUCCUCUUUUCUUCCCUUCUACCCUGCACUCAUUCAAUAUUUAUGGGGUUCCACUACGAGUAAGACAUUGUGCUAGGACCUAGGAAACCAGAGACACAUAUAUCAUGGCCCCUAACAUUUUCUUUUCUUUUCUUUCUUUCUUUUUCUUUUUUUGAGAUAAGAUCUCGUUCUUGCCCAGGCUGGAGUGCAGUGGCAUGAUCACAGCCCACUGUAACCUUGACCUCCCCAGGCUCAGGUGAUCCCCCUAUGUAAGUCUCCCAAGUAGCUAGGACUACAGGUGUACACCACCAUUUCCAGCUAAUUUUUGUAUUUUUUGUAGAGAUAGGUUUUCGCCAUGUUGCCCAGGCUAGUCUCGAACUCCCGGGCUCAAGUGAUCUGCUUGCCUCAGCCUCCCAAAGUGCUGGGAUGACAGAUGUGAGUCACCAUGCCUGGCCUGGCCCCUGACAUUUUCAUGAACGUGAUCUCAUUUACAUCAUCAACAAGGUUAUUAGGAGGCAAGACAGACAGUAUUAAUCUUAUUUUCCAAUGCUGAUAAACAACUUAAACAUUAGCUGGGCAUGGUGGCGUGCGCCUGUAAUCCCAGGUACUUGGGAGGCUGAGGCAGAAGAAUCCCUUGAAUUCGGGAGGCAGAGGUUGCAGUGACCCGAGCUCACACCACUGCACUCCAGCCUGGGUGACAGAGUGAGACUCCAUUUCAAAAAAGAAAAAAAAAAAAACUUAAACAUAUAUUGGAAGAUGGGCAUGCCAAAUAAAUAAGCAAAUUAAAAGUCUGACUACACUAA